CUACGGGAGGCACCAGUGAGGAAUAUUGGACAAUGGAGGCAACUCUGAUCCAGCCAUGCCGCGUGCAGGAAGACGGCCCUAUGGGUUGUAAACUGCUUUUAUACGGGAAGAAACCCAACUACGUGUAGUUGGCUGACGGUACCGUAAGAAUAAGCACCGGCUAACUCCGUGCCAGCAGCCGCGGUAAUACGGAGGGUGCAAGCGUUAUCCGGAAUCAUUGGGUUUAAAGGGUCCGUAGGCGGACUGAUAAGUCAGGGGUGAAAUCCAACAGCUUAACUGUUGAACUGCCUUUGAUACUGUUAGUCUUGAAUUAUAUGGAAGUAGAUAGAAUGUGUAGUGUAGCGUUGAAAUGCUUAGAGAUUACACAGAAUACCGAUUGCGAAGGCAGUCUACUACGUAUAUAUUGACGCUAAUGGACGAGAGCGUGGGGAGCGAACAGGAUUAGAUACCCUUGUAGUC
rnacentral:rRNA from 1 species